rnacentral:rRNA from 1 species
CGAGACCUUCGGGUCUAGCGGCGGACGGGUUAGUAACGCGUGGGAACGUGCCCUUCUCUGCGGAAUAGCCACUGGAAACGGUGAGUAAUACCGCAUACGCCCUUCGGGGGAAAGAUUUAUCGGAGAAGGAUCGGCCCGCGUUAGAUUAGAUAGUUGGUGGGGUAACGGCCUACCAAGUCUACGAUCUAUAGCUGGUUUUAGAGGAUGAUCAGCAACACUGGGACUGAGACACGGCCCAGACUCCUACGGGAGGCAGCAGUGGGGAAUCUUAGACAAUGGGCGCAAGCCUGAUCUAGCCAUGCCGCGUGUGUGAUGAAGGUCUUAGGAUCGUAAAGCACUUUCGCCAGGGAUGAUAAUGACAGUACCUGGUAAAGAAACCCCGGCUAACUCCGUGCCAGCAGCCGCGGUAAUACGGAGGGGGUUAGCGUUGUUCGGAAUUACUGGGCGUAAAGCGCGCGUAGGCGGAUUGGAAAGUUGGGGGUGAAAUCCCGGGGCUCAACCCCGGAACUGCCUCCAAAACUAUCAGUCUAGAGUUCGAGAGAGGUGAGUGGAAUUCCAAGUGUAGAGGUGAAAUUCGUAGAUAUUUGGAGGAACACCAGUGGCGAAGGCGGCUCACUGGCUCGAUACUGACGCUGAGGUGCGAAAGUGUGGGGAGCAAACAGGAUUAGAUACCCUGGUAGUCCACACCGUAAACGAUGAAUGCCAGUCGUCGGGCAGUAUACUGUUCGGUGACACACCUAACGGAUUAAGCAUUCCGCCUGGGGAGUACGGUCGCAAGAUUAAAACUCAAAGGAAUUGAC